GACGAACGCUGGCGGCGUGCUUAACACAUGCAAGUCGAGCGGAAAGGCCCUUCGGGGUACUCGAGCGGCGAACGGGUGAGUAACACGUGAGUAACCUGCCCUUGGCUCUGGGAUAGCUCCGGGAAACCGGAAUUAAUACCGGAUAUGACCUCGGCCGACAUCGGCUGUGGUGGAAAGAUUUAUCGGCCAGGGAUGGGCUCGCGGCCUAUCAGCUAGUUGGUGGGGUAACGGCCUACCAAGGCGACGACGGGUAGCCGGCCUGAGAGGGCGACCGGCCACACUGGGACUGAGACACGGCCCAGACUCCUACGGGAGGCAGCAGUGGGGAAUAUUGGACAAUGGGCGCAAGCCUGAUCCAGCCAUGCCGCGUGAGUGAUGAAGGCCCUAGGGUUGUAAAGCUCUUUUACCCGGGAAG
rnacentral:rRNA from 1 species